CUCUGAUGUUAGCGGCGGACGGGUGAGUAACACGUGGAUAACCUACCUAUAAGACUGGGAUAACUUCGGGAAACCGGAGCUAAUACCGGAUAAUAUUUUGAACCGCAUGGUUCAAAAGUGAAAGACGGUCUUGCUGUCACUUAUAGAUGGAUCCGCGCUGCAUUAGCUAGUUGGUAAGGUAACGGCUUACCAAGGCAACGAUGCAUAGCCGACCUGAGAGGGUGAUCGGCCACACUGGAACUGAGACACGGUCCAGACUCCUACGGGAGGCAGCAGUAGGGAAUCUUCCGCAAUGGGCGAAAGCCUGACGGAGCAACGCCGCGUGAGUGAUGAAGGUCUUCGGAUCGUAAAACUCUGUUAUUAGGGAAGAACAUAUGUGUAAGUAACUGUGCACAUCUUGACGGUACCUAAUCAGAAAGCCACGGCUAACUACGUGCCAGCAGCCGCGGUAAUACGUAGGUGGCAAGCGUUAUCCGGAAUUAUUGGGCGUAAAGCGCGCGUAGGCGGUUUUUUAAGUCUGAUGUGAAAGCCCACGGCUCAACCGUGGAGGGUCAUUGGAAACUGGAAAACUUGAGUGCAGAAGAGGAAAGUGGAAUUCCAUGUGUAGCGGUGAAAUGCGCAGAGAUAUGGAGGAACACCAGUGGCGAAGGCGACUUUCUGGUCUGUAACUGACGCUGAUGUGCGAAAGCGUGGGGAUCAAACAGGAUUAGAUACCCCUGGUAGUCCACGCCGUAAACGAUGAGUGCUAAGUGUUAGGGGGUUUCCGCCCCUUAGUGCUGCAGCUACGCAUUAAGCACUCCGCCUGGGGAGUACGACCGCAAGUGAA
rnacentral:rRNA from 1 species